rnacentral:rRNA from 1 species
CUGGGAACUGCAUUCAAAACUGGCGAGCUAGAGUAUGGUAGAGGGUGGUGGAAUUUCCUGUGUAGCGGUGAAAUGCGUAGAUAUAGGAAGGAACACCAGUGGCGAAGGCGACCACCUGGACUGAUACUGACACUGAGGUGCGAAAGCGUGGCGAGCAAACAGGAUUAGAUACCCUGGUAGUCCACGCCGUAAACGAUGUCAACUAGCCGU